UUCAUUUGAAUGGUUGUACAUGUACAUAUAUGACAUGGUUAACAAUAAAACUGCAUUGUACAAUGUUGUAACACCUAACCUACACUUUACAUUUAUACACAACAAAUUUAUGAAAUUGUGUUUAAAACUGGCACAAAUAAAUAAUAUUAUUGAUAUAUAACACUGCAUUUUUACUUUGGUGCAUGUCCAAUAAAAAAUUGUAACUUGAACAAAUGAUUUAGUUAUGUACAAUUACAAUUUGAUCUUUUCAAAAAGGCUAUAAACAAAAAAAUUAAACCAGUAACUAAAAACACCUCUUAAAAUUGGAGGUACAAUUUGGUGGAACACUUUUCAGUUAUUAUCCACUAGAUACAAUUUUAUUCUACCCAAAUUUAUACUGUACAUGUAUAUCACUGUUGACACAGAAAUAUUUUAGACUGUGCAACAAGUUAACUAUAAAAAAAAUCAAAGUCAAUUAUAUGAUUGAUGGAGAGGGACAGCUUAAUAAUCUCCCUGGAAACGAAUAUAUAUAGCUGCCUACCAAAUACACGUUUCAUAUAAUUUUUGUAUACUCAAUAUACAUGAUAUAAGUGGUUUACCUGUGACUGGCCUAAUCACAAAAUUUAACAAUUGUUUACACCUCUGAUACCAUCAUGACCAAUGUAUACAUUGUACUUGACUUUAUCUAGAUAAGAUGAAAAACUUCACUGGAGUUGCUUAAAUAGUAAAUGUAGGUUGUAGUGACCCAUUUUUCAGUGGACUGAUGUAUUUCUUUUAAAUUCUUACACCACGUUAUUUAAUUAUAAGUCUU
rnacentral:lncRNA from 1 species